rnacentral:rRNA from 1 species
UACGUAGGGUGCAAGCGUUGUCCGGAAUUAUUGGGCGUAAAGGGCUCGUAGGCGGUCCGUCACGUCGGGAGUGAAAACUUGGGGCUUAACCCCAAGCCUGCUUCCGAUACGGGCGGACUAGACGUAGGCAGGGGAGAACGGAAUUCCUGGUGUAGCGGUGAAAUGCGCAGAUAUCAGGAGGAACACCGGUGGCGAAGGCGGUUCUCUGGGCCUUACCUGACGCUGAGGAGCGAAAGCGUGGGGAGCAAACAGG